AAUCAGUGUUCCCCCAAUUCUCCCCCAAAAGAAACUGCUGAAAUGGAGUAGGGAUAUCUCUUGUCAUCCACAAAGUGAACCAGGACUUACAGACCAAAAAAAAUGAAUGAAUGGCUGAGAAAAUUAAUUCCAUGAAUCAACAUAAAAGAACUCCUACUCAUCCAAAGCCCAAGGAACCACCAAGAACUAUCUACUACAACCUCCUACCCAGCAUCGGAGAAGUGGAUCCAUCAAGAUUUAGAAUUCAGAAGACUUCGUAGAGAUUAUAAAACUAGCUUUUAUGCUGCUCCAAGAAAAUGUAUAUUCAUGCAGACUCUCAGGAGAAAUUUCACAGAAACCCACUCUGCAGAUAAGCUAUGGCAGAUUCACAGAGACAA